UACGUAGGUGGCAAGCGUUGUCCGGAUUUACUGGGCGUAAAGAGCGCGCAGGCGGUCGUUCAAGUCGCGUGUGAAAGCCCCCGGCUCAACUGGGGAGGGUCACGCGAUACUGAUCGACUCGAAGGCAGGAGAGGGAAGUGGAAUUCCCGGUGUAGUGGUGAAAUGCGUAGAUAUCGGGAGGAACACCAGUGGCGAAGGCGACUUCCUGGCCUGUUCUUGACGCUGAGGCGCGAAAGCUAUGGGAGCAAACGGG
rnacentral:rRNA from 1 species